rnacentral:rRNA from 1 species
CCCUUAGACGUUCUGGGCCGCACGCGCGCUACACUGACGAUGGCAACGAGCUUUCCUUUACCGAAAGGUACGGGUAAUCUUUUGAAACUUCGUCGUGCUGGGGAUAGAUCCUUGCAAUUUUUGAUCUUAAACGAGGAAUGCCUAGUAAGCGCAAGUCAUCAACUUGCGUUGAUUACGUCCCUGCCCUUUGUACACACCGCCCGUCGCUACUACCGAUUGAAUGGUUUAGUGAGGCCUUCGGAUCCGCGACUCGUUUGUGGAGAAGUUGGACAAACUCAGUCAUUUAGAGGAAGUAAAAGUCGUAACA